rnacentral:rRNA from 1 species
CGUCCAGACUCCUACGGGAGGCAGCAGUGGGGAAUAUUGCACAAUGGGGGAAACCCUGAUGCAGCGACGCCGCGUGAGUGAAGAAGUAUUUCGGUAUGUAAAGCUCUAUCAGCAGGGAAGAAGUUGACGGUACCUGAGUAAGAAGCCCCGGCUAACUACGUGCCAGCAGCCACGGUAAUACGUAGGGGGCAAGCGUUAUCCGGAUUUACUGGGUGUAAAGGGAGCGUAGACGGCAGUGCAAGUCUGAAGUGAAAGCCCCGGGCUUAACCCGGGAAUUGCUUUGGAAACUGUACGGCUGGAGUGCUGGAGAGGUAAGCGGAAUUCCUAGUGUAGCGGUGAAAUGCGUAGAUAUUAGGAGGAACACCAGUGGCGAAGGCGGCUUACUGGACAGUAACUGACGUUGAGGCUCGAAAGCGUGGGGAGCAAACAGGAUUAGAUACCCCGGUAC